UGUAUUUCAUUUAAAUAGAAUACUAAUUUGAUACGAAUAAGUUAAUUUUUAUUCAUAAUUUUAAUUUUGAAAACGUGUUCAUUCCGCCUGAAAAUUAAUUACUAUCUUGGACGCUCCCAAAAUCAUGAAACGAAGCUCAGUGCCGUCAACGCGAAUAUCAACAAACACAGCACAAACGAAAAACAGAAUGUGAAAAACAAGUUAGAACCAGAGAAGAAAAACAUCAAAAUGGACUCAGAAUAACAUUUUGAUAAAUCGUGGUGAGAGUGUUCUACAAGUGGCUGACGAAACGGGCCUUCCACGGUCGACAGUUUACGGAAUCGAGAAGCAAGAAAUAGCAUUGCGGUAUUGCAAGGCGUUGGUCAACUAAACUAUCCCCUGAUUUCGAGAUAAUAAUAGGAAAUAUAAAGGUAGAGAAACCAGAUGCCGAAAUCGACACAACUAUCGUUAAGGAAGAAUAUGAUGUGAAACUUAAAAAUACGAAUGCAAUCACUCAGCCCAUGGCGCCGAGGAAAUUAACCAAGAACAUUCAUAAACUUAUCAAAAAAGCAUCAAAACACAAAUCUUAUUUACGAUAUGGAUUAAAGGAUGUUCAAGUGCGUUGAAAUGGAGGUUGCAAUUUAUAAAAAAGAUUGUCAUUUUCGCUGCAGAAAAGUGGAAAUCAUGUGUCACUUGCCAUCUGUUUGUGAGAAACGCAAUAUCCCAUAUUGCUAUACGCCGAGUCGGAAGACUUGGGAGCAGCAGUGGGUGUGAAAUGAGGCACAGUCGCAAUACUAAUCCGAGAGCAGCCCGAUUAUCAGGAACAGUUCGAUAAACUAAAAGUGAAGAAUCAAUGCCGUCAACACGAAUAUACCAUUGUGCGAGUUUUUACAACACGAUAAAUUUUUAGGAGUAUUUUCAACCAUUUUUCCAAUCAAAACAAUUUAUGGUGUUACAAUCAAUCAUUUUGUAUUUUUGUUAUCAUGCCAUAUACUUAAUUAAA